CCUACGGGCGGCAGCAGUAGGGAAUUUUCCACAAUGGGCGAAAGCCUGAUGGAGCAACGCCGCGUGCUGGAUGAAGGCCUUAGGGUCGUAAACAGCUUUUAUGUACGAAGAAUUUGACGGUAAUACAUGAAUAAGGAUCGGCUAACUACGUGCCAGCAGCCGCGGUCAUACGUAGGAUCCAAGCGUUAUCCGGAAUUACUGGGCGUAAAGAGUUGCGUAGGUGGCAUUGUAAGCAGGGCAUGAAAUCGUGUGGCUCAACCAUACGGCUAUGUUCUGAACUGCAAAGCUAGAGCAUGAGAGGGGUAGAUGGAAUUACUAGUGUAGGAGUGAAAUCCGUAGAUAUUAGUAGGAACACCGAUAGCGUAGGCAGUCUACUGGCUCAUUGCUGACACUCAGGCACGAAAGCGUAGGGAGCGAACGGGAUUAGAUACCCCAGUAGU
rnacentral:rRNA from 1 species